CAGCCCUCCGGGCAGCUUCCGGCUCAGGGGGGCUCCUCAUGGCAUCAUCGGCAGCAGUGGCGAUGUGGUUUGGAAGCCAGUAUUUCCCAGGCUGAACAAAAGUAGUUACGUGCUCUCCCUCAGAAGCCUUGCUCCGAGAUUUAUGAGAUGACGUUGGCAAACACACCCACUCUAUUUUUGUCUUGGGAAUUGAAUUUGGGGGAGAAAAGGGAACUCGGUCCAAAGGGUCAACUGAAAAGAAAAAGAAGAAAGUGUGAUAACUUUUGCAUUUACAGAAAGGAAGCCUGAAGAACAAUCUGAUCACACUGUUCUCCACUCUCCACGUGUAUGUUUCUAACCAGGUUUGCAUCUACCCAGUCAUUCCUCCAUUCAUUUGUCCAUUCCUUCAAUGAACUUUUCUUGACCACCUAGUGUGGACCCGACAACGUGCUGGGCAUUGAGGAAACAACAAAUAAGACACAU